AUUGAACGCUGGCGGCAGGCUUAACACAUGCAAGUCGAGCGGAGAUGAGGUGCUUGCACCUUAUCUUAGCGGCGGACGGGUGAGUAAUGCUUAGGAAUCUGCCUAUUAGUGGGGGACAACAUUCCGAAAGGAAUGCUAAUACCGCAUACGUCCUACGGGAGAAAGCAGGGGAUCUUCGGACCUUGCGCUAAUAGAUGAGCCUAAGGCGGAUUAGCUAGUUGGUGGGGUAAAGGCCGACCAAGGCGACGAUCUGUAGCGGGUCUGAGAGGAUGAGCCGCCACGCUUGGACUGGGACACGGCACAGACUCCUACGGGAGGCAGCAGUGGGGAAUAUUGGACAAUGGGGGGAACCCUGAUCCAGCCAUGCCGCGUGUGUGAAGAAGGCCUUAUGGUUGUAAAGCACUUUAAGCGAGGAGGAGGCUACUGAGACUAAUACUCUUGGAUAGUGGACGUUACUCGCAGAAUAAGCACCGGCUAACUCUGUGCCAGCAGCCGCCGUAAUAC
rnacentral:rRNA from 1 species